rnacentral:pre_miRNA from 1 species
CACCGGUGGAGGUUCUUACCAGUCAGUCUCUGGCUAUAUUCCAGGACUCAGUAGAUCCUGGAUAUAGUCAGAGGCUGACUGAACACAGACCCAGAAAAG